CAAGACCGUAUGAGCGCCCGAAAAUGCGGUGAGCUUGCAGGACACAGGCAGAGAUACAAGGAAACCGUCGCUUCCACACCGACAUGGGAACUAAGGGACAGUACUAUUGCAGUCUAAAAAAUAGCCGGGAGGUGUAAAACAUAGGGUCAGUUCCCAAGACAGGGCCGCCGCACGGGGGAGGCUCCACCCCACAAUUGUUUUCAGCGGCCAUAGGCACUUCUUUCCCCGCCCGUUUCCCAGCAGUGAAAGUACAUGGAUUCAAGACUCACCAACGGGCGGGGCGGCGGCCCAUGGCGACACCAGGAUCUUCAGUGGCUGCAACGAAAGAGAGAGAGUCGGAACGGAAGACGAGAACAGACCUAAAAGGUGUGAGAACCAGCAGCUGCACUACAAGAGACGACAACUACACUUACUCACCACACCGAAGGGAAAGAGGCGCUCCUCCGCCUGCGCAUGGCUUAUAUAGGCGGUCUGUCUGCGCGCGUAAGAACCAUAGAGUCCUGGCGAAGACGGGUGGACGCUCUGUCAGACGUCAUGACCAUAGACGCAGCCGCUCUUGGCGCUUGCGCCCGGGCGUAGCCCAGCACAUGCGCAGAUCAGAGAGGUGACCGGGUACCAGGGCCGCGGGCGGCCAGCUGACGAAUGGGGCUUCGCCACAUGGUCGCGAGAAGUCCGCUUCCGGCUGGCCAUCUUGGGCGUAGAACUCUUGCCCUAGGCUUUGCCGUUAACUGUGACAGACGUAUAUUUCUGAGAGUGGAAAAAAGGAAAGUACCCUAGGUGGGCCUCCCGGCGACCGCGAGAGUGUCCUCGAGCUUGCACGGGUCCCGGACACGCGCUCCGUGCCUCCUUCUAGGCUAGAGGCCCCGGCGGUGAAGCGCCAUACAGGGACCUGGGCCCGCGUUCCUUUGUCAACCCGGGAGGCCGGAGGGGGAGACCCAUUCCCCUACCGGAGAGACUGGACCAGGCCUUGCUGGGAGCCAUGCCCCGUAUCCCCGUUUCCUGGAGACCCAGGGUUCGCACAUUGCCGCGGGGAAGAGGUCGAGGAGAAAUCUCCACGGAGACUCAUGGCCUGGGAAACCGGGGGGCAUCACUGGCCCCGCUCCGCCCACACUGACCCGUACCGUCCCGACCAGCUGCGUCUCGGGUGCCACCUCCCACGAGCCGCUUUCGCCUGGGCACCGCCCCGCCUCGCCCUUCCCACUUCACUGUGCUCAGAGUCCCUCGGGGUGCGUCUGGGGGUCGUGGGGAAGCAGGGCCGCCCCCACCCGCCCACGGGGCAGCAUCCAGGAGAGGUGCGCAGAGCGGGCGGGCGUCCCGGGGGAAGUGGCGUCUGGAGGUAUCUGUCCACCAUUCUGCAGGUGGGGCGCGGUGGGGUAACAAAGUCUUCCCGUCCUUUGACAGGAAGGACGGGAGGAAAUCCUGCUCGAGCGCACCUGUUUUCCAGGAUGAUAUGUCGCUUUUAUAAGUGGCUGCAGGUCCCUUUGAGAAAAGCUUGGGAUGAUUUCUGGGGUGCACUUGCAGCAACGGUGCAAGGUCCUUCCCAGGGGAACCUAGCCUCCCUUUCCAUCAUGGGACUCUGGAUCCCUGCGGUGACUUAGGUCUGGAAACUGGGUUCGAGGCUGUAACACCACUGGGGCAAUACAAGUCAGGAACUGCGGCGGAGCGCAGUGGCUCACGCCUGUAAUCUCAGCACUUUGAGGGGCAGAGGUGGGCGGACCACUUGAGCCCAGGAAUCUGAGACCAGCCUGGACAACAUGGCGAAAAACCGCCUCUACAAAAAUUAAAAAUUAAAAAUUGGCCGGGCGCAGUGGCUCACGCCUGUAAUUCCAGCACUUUGGGAGGCCAAGGCAGGUGGAUCAUGAGGUCAGCAGAUCGAGACCAGCCUGGCCAACAUGGUGAAACCCCGUCUCUACUAAAAAUACAAAAAUUAGCCGGG
rnacentral:antisense_RNA from 1 species